rnacentral:sRNA from 1 species
UAAUGCAACUCACAUCGCACCGCGCGGUU